rnacentral:tRNA from 1 species
GUCUUCGUGGUCUAGUGGCAGGAUACGGUCCUUUCAAGACUGUGUCGCGAGUUCGAUUCUCGCCGAAGAUA